GGUGGGAGGCUUUGAAGCGUGGACGCCAGUCUGCGUGGAGCCGACCUUGAAAUACCACCCUUUAAUGUUUGAUGUUCUAACGUGGACCCGUUACCCGGGUUGCGGACAGUGUCUGGUGGGUAGUUUGACUGGGGCGGUCUCCUCCUAAAGAGUAACGGAGGAGCACGAAGGUUGGCUAAUCCUGGUCGGACAUCAGGAGGUUAGUGCAAUGGCAUAAGCCAGCUUGACUGCGAGCGUGACGGCGCGAGCAGGUGCGAAAGCAGGUCAUAGUGAUCCGGUGGUUCUGAAUGGAAGGGCCAUCGCUCAACGGAUAAAAGGUACUCCGGGGAUAACAGGCUGAUACCGCCCAAGAGUUCAUAUCGACGGCGGUGUUUGGCACCUCGAUGUCGGCUCAUCACAUCCUGGGGCUGAAGUAGGUCCCAAGGGUAUGGCUGUUCGCCAUUUAAAGUGGUACGCGAGCUGGGUUUAGAACGUCGUGAGACAGUUCGGUCCCUAUCUGCCGUGGGCGCUGGAGAACUGAGGGGGGCUGCUCCUAGUACGAGAGGACCGGAGUGGACGCAUCACUGGUGUUCGGGUUGUCAUGCCAAUGGCACUGCCCGGUAGCUAAAUGCGGAAGAGAUAAGUGCUGAAAGCAUCUAAGCACGAAACUUGCCCCGA
rnacentral:rRNA from 1 species